AACGUACGCUGGCGGCACGCCUAACACAUGCAAGUCGAACGAAGUAGCAAUACUUAGUGGCAGACGGGUGAGUAACAUGUAGGUAUCUGCCCUUUGGCCUGGAAUAACACGAGGAAACUUGUGCUAAUACCGGAUAAGUCUUUACGGAGAAAGCUUUAUGCACCAUUGGAUGAGCCUGCACUUGAUUAGUUUGUUGGUGGGGUAAUGGCCUACCAAGACUGUGAUCAAUAGCUGAUUUGAGAGGAUGAUCAGCCACAUUGGGACUGAGACACGGCCCAAACUCCUACGGGAGGCAGCAGUGGGGAAUCUUGCACAAUGGAGGAAACUCUGAUGCAGCGAUGCCGCGUGAGUGAAGAAGGCCCUUGGGUUGUAAAGCUCUUUCGUCGGGGAAGAAAAUGACUGUACCCGAAUAAGAAGGUCCGGCUAACUUCGUGCCAGCAGCCGCGGUAAUACGAAGGGACCUAGCGUAGUUCGGAAUUACUGGGCUUAAAGAGUUCGUAGGUGGUUGAAAAAGUUAGUGGUGAAAUCCCAGAGCUUAACUCUGGAACUGCCAUUAAAACUUUUCAGCUAGAGUAUGAUAGAGGAAAGCAGAAUUUCUAGUGUAGAGGUGAAAUUCGUAGAUAUUAGAAAGAAUACCAAUUGCGAAGGCAGCUUUCUGGAUCAUUACUGACACUGAGGAACGAAAGCAUGGGUAGCGAAGAGGAUUAGAUACCCUCGUAGUCCAUGCCGUAAACGACGUGUGUUAGACGUUGGAAAUUUAUUUUCAGUGUCGCAGGGAAACCGAUAAACACACCGCCUGGGGAGUACGACCGCAAGGUUAAAACUCAAAUGAAUUGACGGGGACCCGCACAAGUAGUGGAGCAUGUGGUUUAAUUCGAAGAUACGCGCAGAACCUUACCAACACUUGACAUGUUCGUCGCGACUCUAAGAGAUUAGAGUUUUCGGUUCGGCCGGACGAAACACAGGUGCUGCAUGGCUGUCGUCAGCUCGUGUCGUGAGAUGUUGGGUUAAGUCCCGCAACGAGCGCAACCCUCACUUUUAGUUGCCAUCAUUAAGUUGGGCACUCUGAAAGAACUGCCAGUGAUAAGCUGGAGGAAGGUGGGGAUGACGUCAAGUCCUCAUGGCCCUUACGUGUUGGGCUACACACGUGCUACAAUGGUAUCUACAACAGGAAGCAAGACUGCGAAGUUAAGCAAAUCCCUAAAAGAUACCUCAGUUCGGAUUGCACUCUGCAACUCGAGUGCAUGAAGCUGGAAUUACUAGUAAUCGUGGAUCAGCGUGCCACGGUGAAUGCGUUCCCGGGUCU
rnacentral:rRNA from 1 species